AUUGAACGCUGGCGGCGUGCCUAACACAUGCAAGUCGAGCGGUAACAGGUGUAGCAAUACAUGCUGACGAGCGGCGGACGGGUGAGUAACGCUUGGGAAUCUGCCUAUUAGUGGGGGACAACCCGGGGGAAACUCGGGCUAAUACCGCAUACGCUCUACGGAGGAAAGCCGGGGACCGCAAGGCCUGGCGCUAAUAGAUGAGCCCAAGUCGGAUUAGCUAGUUGGUAGGGUAAUGGCCUACCAAGGCGACGAUCCGUAACUGGUCUGAGAGGACGACCAGUCACACCGGAACUGAGACACGGUCCGGACUCCUACGGGAGGCAGCAGUGGGGAAUAUUGGACAAUGGGCGAAAGCCUGAUCCAGCGACGCCGCGUGGGUGAAGAAGGCCUGCGGGUUGUAAAGCCCUUUCAGUGGGGAAGAAAAGCCNCGACCUAACACGUCGGGGUCUUGACGUAACCCAUAGAAGAAGCACCGGCUAACUCUGU
rnacentral:rRNA from 1 species